rnacentral:rRNA from 1 species
GACGAACGCUGGCGGCGUGCCUAAUACAUGCAAGUCGAACGAGAGCGACCGGUGCUUGCACUGGUCAAUCUAGUGGCGAACGGGUGAGUAACACGUGGGUAACCUGCCCAUCAGAAGGGGAUAACAUCCGGAAACGGAUGCUAAAACCGCAUAGGUCUUCGAGCCGCAUGGCUUGAAGAGGAAAAGAGGCGCAAGCUUCUGCUGAUGGAUGGACCCGCGGUGCAUUAGCUAGUUGGUGAGGUAACGGCUCACCAAGGCCGUGAUGCAUAGCCGACCUGAGAGGGUGAUCGGCCACAUUGGGACUGAGACACGGCCCAAACUCCUACGGGAGGCAGCAGUAGGGAAUCUUCCGCAAUGGACGCAAGUCUGACGGAGCAACGCCGCGUGAGUGAAGAAGGUUUUCGGAUCGUAAAACUCUGUUGUUAGAGAAGAACAAGUGCUAGAGUAACUG